rnacentral:rRNA from 1 species
GACGAACGCUGGCGGCGCGCCUAACACAUGCAAGUCGAACGGAGUCACGAGGAGCUUGCUUUUCUUGACUUAGUGGCGAACGGGUGAGUAACGCGUGAGUAACCUGCCCUGGAGUGGGGGACAACAGUUGGAAACGACUGCUAAUACCGCAUAAGCCCACGGAUCUGCAUGGAUCUGCGGGAAAAGGAUUUAUUCGCUCUAGGAUGGACUCGCGUCCAAUUAGCUAGUUGGUGAGGUAACGGCCCACCAAGGCGACGAUUGGUAGCCGGACUGAGAGGUUGAACGGCCACAUUGGGACUGAGACACGGCCCAGACUCCUACGGGAGGCAGCAGUGGGGGAUAUUGCACAAUGGGGGAAGCCCUGAUGCAGCGACGCCGCGUGGAGGAAGAAGGUUUUCGGAUUGUAAACUCCUGUCGUUAGGGACGAUAAUGACGGUACCUAACAAGAAAGCACCAGCUAACUACGUG